CACGGGGGGAGCAAGCGUUGUCCGGAAUCAUUGGGCGUAAAGAGCGCGUAGGCGGUCCGGUAAGUCCGCUGUGAAAGUCAAGGGCUCAACCCUUGAAUGCCGGUGGAUACUGUCGGGCUAGAGUCCGGAAGAGGCGAGUGGAAUUCCUGGUGUAGCGGUGAAAUGCGCAGAUAUCAGGAGGAACACCAAUGGCGAAGGCAGCUCGCUGGGACGGUACUGACGCUGAGGCGCGAAAGCGUGGGGAGCAAACAGG
rnacentral:rRNA from 1 species